UACAGAGGUGGCAAGCGUUGUUCGGAAUUACUGGGCGUAAAGGGCGCGUAGGCGGUCAGGUCAGUCCCGUGUGAAAGCCCUCGGCUCAACCGAGGAAUUGCACGAGAAACUGCGUGGCUCGAGUCCGGGAGAGGAUAGUGGAAUUCCCAGUGUAGCGGUGAAAUGCGUAGAUAUUGGGAGGAACACCGGUGGCGAAGGCGGCUAUCUGGACCGGUACUGACGCUGAUACGCGAAAGCCAGGGGAGCAAACGGG
rnacentral:rRNA from 1 species